CACAGCACACAGCGCAGAGCCGCACGCGUAACAAACCUAGCACCAGCAGCUCCGGGAAAGAGGCCCCGGCGAGAAAGUGAAGGAGGAAAAAAAAAAACCCAACGCCUCCCCCUCCUCCUCCUCCUUCCCCUCUCCCCCUCUCCAUUCCUCGCCAUCCCCCACUUCCUCUCGAUCUCUCUCCAGCUCGCUAGCCGCCUCCUCCCCCCAGGCUCCCAAACCCCCUCCACGCCUGGAUCCCGUUCCCGCCUACUCCCGCCUACCCUCGCCGCCGGGCGUGCUCCAGCCGCCGAGGGACGGGUUGGCCCCCAUUGGCGCGGGCCGCUCUAGGCAGGCCGUGGGCGUCGGGUCUCCGGUGGCGGGCGGGGCGCGAUGAGGAGGGCCGUGGGCUGACGCCGAUGAUGUCGGACGCCUCGUCGGAUCUCGGCGGCGGCAGGGCCGGGCCCGUGGAGCGCGACAUCGAGCAGGCCAUCACUGCUCUCAAGAAAGGAGCAUACCUGUUGAAAUAUGGACGUAGAGGGAAGCCAAAAUUUUGUCCCUUCAGGCUUUCCAAUGUGAGCUUUAUUAAGUUGCUCUAUCACAGAAUUUUCAAGUCCUUUAUAUUUGCCCCAUCUCAUUUAUUAAUAUCUUUGGCACUCCUUUUGCUCCUCCAGGAUGAAUCUAUAUUGAUUUGGUUCUCAGGGAAAGAGGAGAAGCAACUAAGAUUGAGUCAUGUGUCUAGAAUAAUUCCUGGACAGCGCACUGCGAUUUUUCAGAGGUAUCCGCGACCUGAGAAGGAAUGCCAGUCAUUUUCUCUCAUAUCUCAUGAUAGAUCAUUGGACAUUAUAUGCAAGGAUAAAGAUGAAGCUGAAGUGUGGUUUGCUGGGCUAAAAACACUGAUAUCACGUAGCCACCAAAGAAAAUGGAGAACAGAAUCAAGAAGUGAUAUGCUUUCCUCUGGUACAACUAGCCCAAGAACUUACACGAGAAGGAGCUCUCCCUUGAGUUCUCCUUUCAGUAGCAAUGAUAGUGUUCACAAGGAUGGCAGCGAAAAUUAUCGACUCCGGAGUCCAUACGGGAGUCCACCAAAGGCUGGCUUGGACAAGGCCUUUUCUGACAUUGUAUCAUAUGCAGCCCCACCCAGGCCCUUCUUCCCAUCGGAUUCUAAUGUUGGAUCAGUUCACUCUGUGUCUUCUGGGCACUCAGAUAACACAAAUGGGAACUCGAGGGGCAUCCCAAUGGAUGCUUUCCGAGUUAGUUUAUCAAGUGCUGUGAGCUCAUCAAGUCAUGGUUCUGGUCAUGAUGAUGGUGAUGCUCUAGGUGAUGUUUUCAUUUGGGGAGAGGGAACUGGGGAGGGAAUUCUUGGUGGUGGCAAUUCAAGGCUUGGAAGUUCCUCAGGUGCAAAGAUGGAUUGUCUUGUACCGAAGCCAUUGGAGUUUGCUGGAAGGCUUGAUGUGCAGAACAUUUCGUGUGGAGGAAGGCAUGCUACACUUGUCACUAAGCAGGGAGAGGUCUACUCUUGGGGCGAGGAGUCAGGUGGGCGUCUUGGUCAUGGUGUGGACUGUGAUGUGCCCCAGCCAAAACUUAUCGAUGCUCUUGCUCAUAUGAACAUUGAGCUAGUAGCAUGUGGUGAGUACCAUACUUGUGCAGUCACGCUCUCUGGAGAUCUGUACACAUGGGGAAAUGGUACCUUUAAUUUUGGACUUUCAGGACAUGGGAAUGAAGUCAGUCAUUGGAUGCCUAAAAGGCUCAAUGGACCAUUAGAAGGGAUACAUGUUUCGUCUAUUUCAUGUGGCCCUUGGCACACAGCUGUAGUAACAUCUGCAGGCCAGCUAUUCACAUUUGGAGAUGGCUCUUUUGGAGUUCUAGGUCAUGGAGAUCGUCAGAGUAUUUCGGUACCAAGGGAGGUGGAAUCCCUGAAAGGGCUACGGACUGUUCGGGCAGCUUGUGGUGUGUGGCACACAGCCGCCGUUGUUGAAGUUAUGGUUGGGAAUUCAAGUUCCAGCAAUUGUUCUUCUGGCAAGAUAUUUACAUGGGGUGAUGGUGAUAAAGGUCGUUUGGGACAUGGUGACAAAGAAACAAGACUUGUCCCAACUUGUGUAGCUUCUUUGGUUGAGCCUAACUUUUGCCAAGUAGCUUGUGGUCAUUGUUUCACGGUGGCACUAACAACUUCAGGGCAUGUAUACACAAUGGGAAGUUCUGUCUAUGGUCAGCUUGGAAAUCCACAGGCAGAUGGCAUGGUUCCUGCACGUGUUGAAGGAAAGCUACAUAAAAAUUUUGUGGAGGAGAUUUCAUGCGGCGCUUAUCAUGUCGCUGUCUUGACUUCCAGGACAGAAGUGUAUACAUGGGGUAAAGGUGCUAAUGGCCGGUUAGGACAUGGUGAUACUGAUGAUAGGAAUUCUCCUACACUAGUUGAAGCUCUGAAAGAUAAGCAAGUCAGGAGUGUUGUUUGUGGAAUUAACUUCACUGCAGCAAUAUGCAUUCACAAGUGGGUGUCUGGAGUUGAUCAGUCCAUGUGUUCUGGAUGUCGUUUGCCGUUUAACUUGAGGAGAAAACGGCAUAAUUGCUACAAUUGUGCCCUUGUAUUUUGUCAUUCCUGCAGCAGUAAGAAAUCUCUGAAGGCUUCAUUAGCACCAAACCCAAACAAGCCUUACCGUGUCUGCGAUAGCUGCUACGGCAAACUUAAUAAGGGACCUGAGACAGAUAGGUAUUCUUCGGCAAAGCGCGGAGCUAUCUUACAAGGAUUCAAUGAUUCUAUCAAUGAUGAUUUGGAGACGAGAUCAAAUGUUCAAUUAUCUAGAUUGUCGUCAAUGGAAUCUUUCAAGAACAUGGAUAGCAGGUAUUCAAAGAAAAAUAAGAAGUUUGAAUUUAAUAGCAGCCGUGUUUCCCCAAUUCCAAAUGGCAGUUCUCACUGGAGUGGGCUCAACAUCUCGAAAUCUUUUGGCUCGUCAAAGAAAUUUUUCUCAGCGUCGGUUCCUGGAUCAAGAAUUGCUUCUAGGGCAACAUCACCUGUCUCAAGAAGAACAAGUCCUCCUCGAUCUACAACUCCAACACCUACCUUGGGUGGUCUAACAUCUCCUAGAGUUGUUGUAGAUGGUGCAAGGCCAAUAAAGGAUAAUCUAAGCCAAGAGGUUGUACAUUUGAGAUCUCAGGUGGAAAAUCUUACUCGGAAGUCUCACCUACUGGAAGUUGAAUUGGAGAGAACAACUAAACAGUUAAAGGAAGCAAUUUCCAUUGCAGGGGAGGAAACUGCAAAGUGCAAAGCUGCAAAAGAAGUAAUCAAAUCGCUCACUGCACAAUUGAAGGGUAUGGCAGAGAAGCUACCUGAAGGAGCAGGAGCAGGGGCAGGGGCAGUUAAGUACAACAGACUGCCACCACUUUCUGGAGUGCCUGUUCAGAAUGAUAUAUCAAUGGCAACUGAGAAUUUAGGUAGCCCAAGAAAUUCAGGAGAGCCAUAUUCGAACGGGUCUAAUGGGUUGACUGUUUCUAAUGGACCAAGUUCAGUUAGAAAUAAGACUCACCUGGAAGUUGGCAAGAACGGAACCAGACAGCCCGAUUCGGACUCUAAGCCUGAGUCUGAAUGGGUAGAGCAAGAUGAACCAGGGGUCUACAUUACCCUUACUGCCCUACCUGGAGGGGCAAGAGAUCUCAAGAGAGUCCGUUUCAGCCGGAAGCGUUUUAGCGAGACGCAAGCAGAGCAAUGGUGGCAAGAGAAUCGAGCAAGGGUAUACGAGCUGUAUAAUGUUCGUGUGGUGGACAAAUCAGUUGCCAGUAUUGAUAGUGAUGUACCUCUAGUUCCCUCUGUUCUAGAAGUGCGCUAGCUAGCUACGAACAAUCUCAAAGCUAUGGUGAAUCGUGGGGUGCGUGCAAGAGUGCACAGCACGUUCAAGAAAACUUCAGCACUGCCUCCUUCAGAGAGCUAACUGUGGAGGCUAUUUGUAGUUUCUCAAGCUGUUUCCCGCUCAUCAACCGCUUCGGUUCUUCCAAACUCCACACAUCGACCCCUCUCACGCGCACUCGCCCGCAGCCAUGGAUCAGGACCUGUCGUCGGAGCUGGACCCGGCGCUCCUCCUCUCGACGUCGGCGUCCUCGUCGUCGCCGCAAGACUCCGCGUCGCCGUCCUUCUCCUUCUACCCGCCCUCCCCUCCGGAGUACACCCUCGCCGUCACCAACCUCUCCUGCCCAGCGCCGCGCCGCGCCAACGCCGCCUUCCUCCCGAGCUUCUUGCCCUGCUUCCCCGCGGCCCCGGCACCCGCCGCCGCCGAGGGGCUCCUCAACUCCGUCUCCUUCACCGCGUCCAGCUCCAGCAUCCUGGCCGUCGUGGGCCCCAGCGGCGCCGGCAAGUCGACGCUCCUCCGCAUCCUGUCCGGCCGCGGCACCGGCUCCGAGAUCGCCAAGCCGCCCACCGUGUGCAUCAACGGCUACGCCGUCACCUCGCGCGCACAGCUGCGCCGGACGUGCGGCUUCGUCACGCAGGACGACAACCUCCUCCCGCUGCUCACCGUCCGCGAGACCAUCCUCUUCGCCGCGCGCUUCAGGCUCGGCCCCUCGGUCACCGCGCGGGAGCGGCACGAGCGGGUGGAGGCGCUCAUGCAGGAGCUGCGCCUGUCCGAGGUGGCCGACAGCUACGUCGGCGGCGGCGGCGGCGAGGCCAUGUCGUCGUCCCGCGGGGUAUCCGGGGGCGAGCGUAAGCGAGUGUCCAUCGCGGUGGACAUGGUGCACGACCCGCCGGUGCUGCUGCUGGACGAGCCCACGUCGGGGCUGGACAGCCGGUCGGCCAUGGACGUGCUGGCGCUGCUGCACGAGGUGGCGCGCGCGCGGCGGCAGGUGGUGGUGCUCAGCAUCCACCAGCCCAGCUACCGCAUGCUCGGCUACAUCUCGUCGCUGCUGCUGCUCUCCCGCGGCUCCGUCGCGCACUGCGGCUCGCUCAGGUCGCUCGAGGACGCGCUCGCGAGGCUGGGACACAAGAUCCCCACGCAGCUCAACCCGCUGGAGCUCGCCAUGGAGGUCACCGAGCAGCUCCAGGCGGACCACGCCAACUUCGCUAUGCUCAGGGACAACGGCCAGUACGAGGAGGAGAGGGAAAGCCCCGGCCUCGCCAACGGCAGCGUCCACGUCCCGGAGCACGGGUACCGCAGCCGCGCCGUGGAGGUGUCGGCGCUGACCGUGCGUUGCUGGCGCACCAUGUACCGCACGCAGCAGCUCUUCGCGGCGCGGGCGGCGCAGGCGGUGGUCGGCGGCCUCGGCCUCGGCAGUGUCUUCUUCCGCGUGCGCGCCGACCCGGACGGCCUGGCGCUCCGGCUCGGCCUCUUCGCCUUCAGCCUGAGCUUCCUCCUCUCCUCCACCGUGGAGGCCCUCCCGAUCCUCCUCCACGAGCGCCGGGUGCUGAUGCGCGAGGCCUCCCGCCGCGCCUACCGCCUGUCGUCGUACGUGGUCGCCAACGCGCUCGUGUUCGCGCCGUGCCUCCUCGCCGUGGCGAUCCUCUUCUCGGCGCCGGUCUACUGGCUGGUGGGCCUCCGGGCCUCCGUCGCCGCCUUCGGGUUCUUCGUCCUCGCGGUGUGGCUCAUCGUGCUCAUGGCCAGCUCCCUGGUCCUGUUCCUGAGCGCAGUGUCCCCGGACUUCAUCCUCGGCAACUCGCUCAUCUGCAUCUUCCUGGGCGUCUUCUUCCUCUUCUCCGGCUACUUCAUACCCAAGGAGAGCAUCCCGAGGUACUGGGCCUUCAUGUACUACGUGUCCAUGUACAGGUACCCGCUGGACCUGCUGCUCAUCAACGAGUACGGGGGCAGCGCCAGGGACAGGUGCGUGGCGUGGAUGGGAGGGGACGCCAUGAACGGCAACGGCGUGUGCUUGAGCACCGGAGGCGACGUGCUGAGGGGGAGAGGGGUGGACGAGGGCAUGAGGUGGGUCAAUGUGGGGGUCAUGAUGGGCUUCUUCCUGGCGUACAGGAUCAUGUGCUGGGCUGUGCUGGUGAGGAGGGCCUCCAAGACCACUCUCUGAUCCUUCCUUCCUUCCUUCCUUCCCCUGUUUUUCUUUCUUUCUUGGUUUGGGAUCAUUAUAUACACAAUCGGCCUUAUUUAUUUGAUUUUCUGCUGUAGUUUGCUAUUUCUUUAGAUGUGCUGAGUAAGAAGUGGAAUGCAAGUUUGCACUCAUGUGUGCAAAAUGCUUGGUUUGGAUUCAUGAAAAACAAAUGUCAACUUGUCUACC